GGAUUGUGGCUCAGAGGUAGAGCACUCGACUAGCACUUGCGGGGGCGACACCCGGGUUGGAUUCUCAGCACCA
rnacentral:tRNA from 1 species